rnacentral:rRNA from 1 species
UACGAAGGGGGGCUAGCGUUGCUCGGAAUCACUGGGCGUAAAGGGUGCGUAGGCGGGUCUUUAAGUCAGGGGUGAAAUCCUGGAGCUCAACUCCAGAACUGCCUUUGAUACUGAGGAUCUUGAGUACGGGAGAGGUGAGUGGAACUGCGAGUGUAGAGGUGAAAUUCGUAGAUAUUCGCAAGAACACCAGUGGCGAAGGCGGCUCACUGGCCCGUAACUGACGCUGAGGCACGAAAGCGUGGGGAGCCAAACAGG